rnacentral:rRNA from 1 species
GACGAACGCUGGCGGCGUGCUUAACACAUGCAAGUCGAACGGAAAGGCCCUGCUUUUGUGGGGUGCUCGAGUGGCGAACGGGUGAGUAACACGUGAGUAACCUGCCCCUGACAUUGGGAUAACUUCAGGAAACUGGGGCUAAUACCGGAUAGGAGCUCCUGCUGCAUGGUGGGGGUUGGAAAGAUUCGGCGGUUGGGGAUGGACUCGCGGCUUAUCAGCUUGUUGGUGGGGUAGUGGCUUACCAAGGCUUUGACGGGUAGCCGGCCUGAGAGGGUGACCGGCCACAUUGGGACUGAGAUACGGCCCAGACUCCUACGGGAGGCAGCAGUGGGGAAUAUUGCACAAUGGGCGGAAGCCUGAUGCAGCAACGCCGCGUGCGGGAUGACGGCCUUCGGGUUGUAAACCGCUUUCGCCUGUGACGAAGCGUGAGUGACGGUAAUGGGUAAAGAAGCACCGGCUAACUACGUG